GAGCCAGGGCGAAACGUAGUCACUGAGGCUACUUUAAUAAUCAGCAUAGUGCGCGAAAAACCUUCGUUUUCUCGGUGCUGAGUGUUGAAGAGGAAGCCUUGUCGCGGCCUCGCCAGAGACAUUUUUGUCUGGUUGAGAACCGGAACCUUGCAUUUUCGGGGCUUCCCCUGAGUUUUGCGCUUUAUUUUCUCACAGAAACUUGAGCGAGGCAAUUUUGGGGGAAAGAAGCCGUUUUCCGAGCGGUCUGAGGCGGGGAAUCAGAGCGAUUCCCAGCCUCAGAGAAAGGGGAGCCGAUUUUUCAGAUUGGGGCUCGUUUCUGGCGCGAGACAGCGAAGGCCCAGAGAAAGGGGAACGCGGCGGCGGCGAUGGGACGACAGGACGGUGUUGGGGACGCCCUGAAGGAGUCAAAAUUUUCAUCAAGUGCUUCUGUAUGUAUUGAGACUGAAAAGUGACCAAAACUUUUCACUAUAAAAGCUUCAGUAUCACAGGGACAUCAUGACGUCCUCAAAAAGUACACACACACUUCUAAGAAGAUGUGACAAUCUGCACUGAUAUGAGCUGCAAGAGAAAAAUUGUUUCCUUGGAAGUGCUUUUUCACAGCCAUUAUGGAGUCUUCACAGCUCAGGGGAGUCCUUCCAUCCCCAACUACUGCAACAAGCCGGUCUCCAGGACUUGCCAAUGCUGAUGAAGUCCAGUGAACAACUUCUCCAGGCCAGUCUCAUUCCAACCACCCGCUUAUGCUGAACAGUUUGAAGAUUUGCUGAAGCAUCUGAUGGAGGAGAGCAGUGAUUUGAGCCUUCUGGACCUUGCUGCCAUCUACCAGAAACAACAGAAGACCAUUGGAACCAGCUAAAUGUCCAUCGGUAGGGGACUAAUCAAAUAAUGUAGGACACACCCAUUCAAUGGGAAGCAGUACAGCUAUUUAAAAAGAUAAAGCAGUUAUCUAUAUAUGAAUGAGAAGAUCUCCAAGUUAAAAAAGAUAGAUGCAGAACAGUGAGUAUAGUAUGCUAUCUUUUAUAUUAAAAAAGGGGAAGAAUGUAAUAAAAUAAUGUACCUAUAUUCUCAUCAGUUGACAUAUGCAUAAAGAAACUGGAAGGAUUUAAAAGACAGUAAUAACUUCAAACUGUGGAAAAGGUUGGAAGCAGUUGUGUCAAAGUAUACAUUUAUUCAUAUGCCCAAAUUCCAAUUUACUAGUAAUUUCAAAAAUGUAAGUUAGCAAAAUAUCCAUAAAGGGAAAAGAUCAGUAGCAGGGAAAUACACACUCAAACAUUGCUGGUGACAGUAUUUUGGAAAAAAAAAAAUUGUCUUCAAUCAGCAUUCUGCCCUUAGGAUUUAUCCAAAAACAGGUAAAGUUUUGUGCUCAGAUUUUAUAAAACAGUGGAGAACAAGAAAGUAUAUAUUCAGGAACAAAUGAUGGGCAAGGGAACUAUAGUAUGUGUAGUUAUCAGACAAUUGUGUAUCCAUUUAAAAAUUUGUGAGUAGAAAACAAAAGCACGAAAAAUUUACUGAUGAUGGAAUUCCAUUGAGUGGCAAAAAUUCAGGCUAAAUUACUUACAUAGCAUAGUCACAAUUUGGUAUUUUAAAAGAGGCAAAUGACAUGUUUUAAAUGAUUAAAAUUUGAAACUAUGAACCAAA